rnacentral:tRNA from 1 species
GCCGCCAUAGCUCAGCAGGUAGAGCACUUCCAUGGUAAGGAAGGGGUCGUCGGUUCAAGUCCGAUUGGUGGCU